AUUGAACGCUGGCGGCAGGCCUAACACAUGCAAGUCGAGCGGAUGAAGGGAGCUUGCUCCUGGAUUCAGCGGCGGACGGGUGAGUAAUGCCUAGGAAUCUGCCUGGUAGUGGGGGAUAACGUCCGGAAACGGGCGCUAAUACCGCAUACGGCCUGAGGGAGAAAGUGGGGGAUCUUCGGAUCUCACGCUAUCAGAUGAGCCUAGGUCGGAUUAGCUAGUUGGUGGGGUAAAGGCCUACCAAGGCGACGAUCCGUAACUGGUCUGAGAGGGUGAUCAGUCACACUGGAACUGAGACACGGUCCAGACUCCUACGGGAGGCAGCAGUGGGGAAUAUUGGACAAUGGGCGAAAGCCUGAUCCAGCCAUGCCGCGUGUGUGAAGAAGGUCUUCGGAUUGUAAAGCACUUUAAGUUGGGAGGAAGGGCAGUAAGUUAAUACCUUGCUGUUUUGACGUUACCAACAGAAUAAGCACCGGCUAACUUCGUG
rnacentral:rRNA from 1 species